rnacentral:rRNA from 1 species
AACGAACGCUGGCGGCAUGCCUAACACAUGCAAGUCGAGCGGAUGAGUGGAGCUUGCUCCAUGAUUCAGCGGCGGACGGGUGAGUAAUGCCUAGGAAUCUGCCUGGUAGUGGGGGACAACGUUUCGAAAGGAACGCUAAUACCGCAUACGUCCUACGGGAGAAAGCAGGGGACCUUCGGGCCUUGCGCUAUCAGAUGAGCCUAGGUCGGAUUAGCUAGUAGGUGAGGUAAUGGCUCACCUAGGCGACGAUCCGUAACUGGUCUGAGAGGAUGAUCAGUCACACUGGAACUGAGACACGGUCCAGACUCCUACGGGAGGCAGCAGUGGGGAAUAUUGGACAAUGGGCGGAAAGGACCUGAUCCAGCCAUG